rnacentral:piRNA from 1 species
UAGUGGCAGGAGAGUGAGCUCACA